GCUCUCACUUCUUGCGUGCAGACUGCGCGUGUUGCUCGCGUGCCGCUGGCUGCGCGCGCUCGUCUGCUUCAGACGUGCAUACUGCGCGCGCUCUCACUUCUUGCGUGCAGACUGCGCGUGUUGCUCGCGUGCCGCUGCCUGCGCGCGCUCGCCUGUUUCUGGCGUGCAUACCGCACGUACUGCUCGUGUGCACACUGCACGUGAUGCUCGCGAGCCGCCAACUUCACGGUGCCGUACGACUGGCAGUGAUGCAGAGGGCGAUGUCGCUCGAUCUGCGGCCUGCUGCUUCACUCGUUGGGGCUAUGAUGCCUUUUGAUUAUUUAUCAGGACGGUCGAGCGGGACGCCCGCCACACAUGGUGCAGCCUCACAUCGUGGGAGCAGACUGGAGCUGGGACGGCUGCCCUGCCGAACUUUCGAGAGGCGCGGUCCUAACAAGAUCUUUCGCACGCUUCCGCAUCAUCGAGGGCCGGUUGCCGGUUACGACACCAUUAACGUCGACUCCGUUACUGCAUCCGAGCGCUGGAGGGCGCACUCCGACGUCGGCUUCGGGGGCCAAAGAGGUGUCCGUGGCUGAUGCGGAGACGCACGGAACGGGCCAAGCUUCCAAGGCGCUGCUUGAUGCGAGCGUUGGCACGGCGGACAGGAUUGUUGGUGCACUUUCUUCAUUACUUCAAGUAAGAUCUAAGCAUUAUUACAUCUCAAACUUUGACCCUAGUGCCCAUGAAUUUGACACGUGGUGUACGGAAGUAGAUCGAGCUCGCGAAUUAAAUCGUUGGGACGAUCGCGAAUGCCUACGGCGAAUUGGUGGUUGUUUACGUGGUGAUGCUAAAACUUGGUUAGACGAGUGGGUGACCGGAGACCGCUCGUGGACAAAUUUUAAAGCAGAGUUUAGAUCGUUGUGUCCACGUGAGGUUGAUAUGGCCACUGUCCUUUAUGACGUAAUGAGCACAAACUCCAACAAAUUCACCACGUAUGCAGAGUACGCACGAAAGUCUCUUUUACGUUUAAACAUCGUCAAGGGGCUUUCGGACGAAUUAAAAACCGCCAUAGUGAUUCGAGGCAUUUCCGAUCCUCAAGUAAAAGCGGCGACGGUCAACGCUAAGCUGCAGUCAAAGAAUUUGGUCGAAUUUUUGUCGGUAUAUGUAAAACCACAAUCUGGUGAGUCGAAUUAUUUUUAUUUGGAUCAGUCCCGUAACAUUAAAGCAAGACUUCACAGAAGUUUGAAUGAUUUCGACACCGAUAGAAGCAAUGUGGCUAAGUUAGUAAAAUUUGAUGACAAUGAUGAUGAUGUUGGGUGAUGAUGUAGUUGAAUCUGGUAAUAGAACCUAUAACACUCAUGAUUGCAUAAAGAAAAGUUGCCUCUAAGUAGUGCUACUGACGAGUUAAACGUAGAAGACUGUGAUGAGUGAGGUAAGAGUACCUCCAUCGAGUGGUAUAGCUGAUACCAUCACUAUUUGGUCGUACUGUACGCACUUGUCCGUAGUCGUAACUGCAAUUCACUUGUGAGUUGUUCAGAGGGCGAUGGGCGGCUGGUGGUAUAGCGGAUACCUUGGUCUCAAAGGAGACUAUUGUUGUGUUGGUCUAGUAAUGACCUGAGAGUCGCUGACUCUAUAUUGUGAAGUGAUGUGUAUUGGUUUUAUCAUUUGUAGUAAUGUUAUGGGUGGCAUAAAUGACACUAGCUGCGCAGAUAGCCAGGCCAAGAACGUUUUAUACGAUAUGAGUUGUUAUAGUUUCUGAUUAUUGUGUUUUGACUUUGUGUUGUCAAUGAUUGUUAUGGUUCAGUUUUUCGGUUUACUACGAUCCGGUCAGUACGGUCGAGCGGGACGCCCGCCACACAUGGUGCCCUGGCGUGGUGAGUGGUCUCCAGAGGCAGUGUUGGUGCGUGCCGGCCGAGGCGCGCAGAGGCGCAGAGGGCCUGCCGGUGGCGCCCCUACUGAUCAGCACCUUGCAAUGCGCGCACUGCUGGCGUGCCGCUGCCUACUUUUGGCGUGCAGACUGCGCGCACUGCUCGCGUGCCGUUGGCUGCUGUUUUGCCCCGACAUUGUGGCAAUGCCCCGACAUUGUGGCUGUUGUUUUGCCCCGACAUUGUGGCUGUUGUUUUGCCCCGACAUUGUGGCAGUGCCCCGACAUUGUGGCUGUUGUUUUGCCCCGACAUUGUGGCAGUGCCCCGACAUUGUGGCUGUUGUUGUGCCCCGACAUUGUGGCUGUUGUUUUGCCCCGACAUUGUGGCAGUGCCCCGACAUUGUGGCUGUUGUUUUGCCCCGACAUUGUGGCAGUGCCCCGACAUUGUGGCUGUUGUUUUGCCCCGACAUUGUGGCAGUGCCCCGACAUUGUGGCUGUUGUUUUGCCCCGACAUUGUGGCAGUGCCCCGACAUUGUGGCUGUUGUUUUGCCCCGACAUUGUGGCAGUGCCCCGACAUUGUGGCUGUUGUUUUGCCCCGACAUUGUGGCUGUGCCCCGACAUUGUGGCUGUUGUUUUGCCCCGACAUUGUGGCAGUGCCCCGACAUUGUGGCAACGCUUCGUAGUUGAUAUUGCCCUCUAAAAACCCCGAUAGUGGUUAUUGGAUGGUAAUGCUAACGGUUAUGUUUCAAUGUUUGUUGGCAUUUGGCAAUUGACAAUGACGCAAGUGAUUGUUUACUCAGUGUCUGAGAAUCCGGACUCAUUCAUUGGCGAAACAAUUAACUUUAAGCGUUUUUCUAUACCGUAUGUGCCUAACGUAUACGGAUAUUGGUGGCCGCCUAUUCUGAUAUGAUCACUUGAAGUGCACACUUGUGGUCUGGUUGGAGUGGGUGACUGCUAAUAAUAGCAAGAACAGACAUUGAGCAGCCUACUAAGAGUUUUCUGUUUUAAAUGACGAUGAACACGAUGGGCACUUAUCCAAUGAGAAUGAGUCCCAUGGUGAUCGUGUUGAAGAGGAGCAGGAAGACCAGGUUGGGGUGGUCGAGGGAGACCAGCUUGAAGGGAACCAAGCUGACGAGGCCGUUCAGCUGUCAGGAGAGGCCGUCUUAGAGAAUUUGUCACUACCCGGCCCCUCUACUCAGUGACGUCAGGCGGUGGGGCGAGAGUCACGUCAUCGCGCCAGGUGCCUAUAAAUAGCAACGCCUUUGCUCGAAACAUUCAUUCGAUCGGUGGCGUUCGUGAGAGAAGGUAGUCGUGGACAUGGUGUGCGAUUACAAACAUUGAUGUCAUUCGCAAUGGAGAAGACAUACAAACGGUCCGGCCACAGAGCCACGAUAAGGAUCCUAGUUGUGUUGCUGGUGAUAUGUCUGGCGGAAUGCGCUACAGGUUCCUGCUUAAGCUACGGACAUUCAUGUUGGGGAG